rnacentral:rRNA from 1 species
UACGUAGGGGGCAAGCGUUGUCCGGAUUUAUUGGGCGUAAAGAGCGUGUAGGCGGCCUGGUAGGUCCGCUGUGAAAACUCGAGGCUCAACCUCGAGACGCCGGUGGAAACCAUCAGGCUAGAGUCCGGAAGAGGAGAGUGGAAUUCCUGGUGUAGCGGUGAAAUGCGCAGAUAUCAGGAGGAACACCGGUGGCGAAGGCGGUUCUCUGGGCAUUACCUGACGCUGAGGAGCGAAAGUGUGGGGAGCGAACAGG